UAAUUCUAUUAUUAAUUAUUUAUUUUUCUAUUAUUGGUUUAUAAGUUUUAAUAUUAAAUGCAUAAUGGGAUGAGCUUUUAUGUUUAUUUUUAAAAAUUUUUUUAAUUAGUAUUAUUUGUAUAAUUUGAAUUGUUAUUCAUUAAAAUAAUUUAAUAGUUAUUAUUAUUAUUUUAUUUAUUUAUAUAUAUUUUAAAUUUUAUAUAAAAAUAUAAUAUUUAAUUUUUUAAUUUUAGUAAUUAUGAUUAAAUUAGUAAAUUUCUUUAUAUCAAUAUAGUUUUAGGUUAGGUUGUAGAAAGGAAUUCGGCAAAAUUAUUUUCUGCCUGUUUAUUAAAAACAUGUCUUUUUGAUAAUAAUUUAAAGUCUAACCUGCUCAAUGAUUAUUUAAAUUGCCGCAGUAUUCUGACUGUGCAAAGGUAGCAUAAUAAUUAGUUUUUUUAUUGAAAGCUGGAAUGAAUGGUUGGACAAGAAAAUUACUGUCUCUUUAUUAUUUUUUUUUGAAUUUAAUUUUUAAGUUAAAAAGCUUAAAUUUUUUUAAAAGACGAGAAGACCCUAUAGAGUUUUAUUAUUUUUAUAAUUUUUAUUUUUAGGAAUUUAAAGUUUAAAUUAUUAAAUAAAUUUGGUUGGGGUGACUGAAAGAUUUAAUAAACUCUUUUAAUUUAAAAUCAUUGAUUUGUGAAUUAUUAAUCUAUAUUUUUAAAUAUAAAAUAAAUUACCUUAGGGAUAACAGCGUUAUUUCUUUUUAGAGUUCUUAUUGAAAAAGAAGUUUGCGACCUCGAUGUUGGAUUAAAAUUUAUUUUAGGUGUAGAAGCUUAAUAAUUAAGUCUGUUCGA
rnacentral:rRNA from 1 species